rnacentral:rRNA from 1 species
UCUGCAGGUUGAUAUUUAAGUCUUUUGUUAAACCUCCGGGCUCAACCCGGAAUCUGCAAAGGAAACUAUUUAUCUUGAGUAUGGUAGGGGUAAAGGGAAUUUCCAGUGGAGCGGUGAAAUGCGUAGAUAUUGGAAAGAACACCAGUGGCGAAGGCGGCUUACUGGUCCAUUACUGACGCUGAGGUGCGAAAGCGUGGGGAGCAAACA